CAUGCAAGAAGAACGAACCUUCGGGUUAGUGGCGGACGGGUGAGUAACGCGUGGCACUCUGCCCUCAGGAGGGGGAUAACGGUUGGAAACGACCGCUAAUACCCCAUAUGCCGAGAGGUGAAAAGAAAUUCGCCUGAGGAUGAGCUCGCGUCUGAUUAGCUAGUUGGUGUGGUAAUGGCGCACCAAGGCUUCGAUCAGUAGCUGGUCUGAGAGGAUGAUCAGCCACACUGGGACUGAGACACGGCCCAGACUCCUACGGGAGGCAGCAGUGGG
rnacentral:rRNA from 1 species